rnacentral:rRNA from 1 species
GACAGAGGGUGCGAACGUUGCUCGGAAUUACUGGGCGUAAAGCGCGUGUAGGCGGCGCCGCGCAUCGGGUGUGAAAGCCCGGGGCUCAACCCCGGACGUGCACUCGAGAUGACGGCGCUGGAGUCCUGAAGAGGAGGGCGGAAUUCCCGGUGUAGAGGUGAAAUUCGUAGAUAUCGGGAGGAACACCAGUGGCGAAGGCGGCUCUCUGGACAGGCACUGACGCUGAGACGCGAAAGCGUGGGUAGCAAACAGG